AAUUCAGACUCAGCUCGAAUUACCUCACUAAAGGGACCCCUCGGCGUCGUUAAACGAAUUCGCCCUUAGAGUUUGAUCCUGGCUCAGGACGAACGCUGGCGGCGCGCCUAACACAUGCAAGUCGAACGAGCGAGAGAGAGCUUGCUUUCUCAAGCGAGUGGCGAACGGGUGAGUAACGCGUGAGGAACCUGCCUCAAAGAGGGGGACAACAGUUGGAGACGACUGCUAAUACCGCAUAAGCCCACAGCUCGGCAUCGAGCAGAGGGAAAAGGAGCAAUCCGCUUUGAGAUGGCCUCGCGUCCGAUUAGCUGGUUGGUGAGGUAAUGGCCCACCAAGGCGACGAUCGGUAGCCAGACUGAGAGGUUGAACGGCCACAUUGGGACUGAGACACGGCCCAGACUCCUACGGGAGGCAGCAGUGGGGAAUAUUGCACAAUGGGGGAAACCCUGAUGCAGCGACGCCGCGUGGAGGAAGAAGGUCUUCGGAUUGUAAACUCCUGUUGUUGAGGAAGAUAAUGACGGUACUCAACAAGGAAGUGACGGCUAACUACGUGCCAGCAGCCGCGGUAAAACGUAGGUCACAAGCGUUGUCCGGAAUUACUGGGUGUAAAGGGAGCGCAGGCGGGAAGACAAGUUGGAAGUGAAAUCUAUGGGCUCAACCCAUAAACUGCUUUCAAAACUGUUUUUCUUGAGUAGUGCAGAGGUAGGCGGAAUUCCCGGUGUAGCGGUGGAAUGCGUAGAUAUCGGGAGGAACACCAGUGGCGAAGGCGGCCUACUGGGCACCAACUGACGCUGAGGCUCGAAAGUGUGGGUAGCAAACAGGAUUAGAUACCCUGGUAGUCCACACCGUAAACGAUGAUUACUAGGUGUUGGAGGAUUGACCCCUUCAGUGCCGCAGUUAACACAAUAAGUAAUCCACCUGGGGAGUACGACCGCAAGGUUGAAACUCAAAGGAAUUGACGGGGGCCCGCACAAGCAGUGGAGUAUGUGGUUUAAUUCGACGCAACGCGAAGAACCUUACCAAGUCUUGACAUCCCUUGACGAUGCUGGAAACAGUAUUUCUCUUCGGAGCAAGGAGACAGGUGGUGCAUGGUUGUCGUCAGCUCGUGUCGUGAGAUGUUGGGUUAAGUCCCGCAACGAGCGCAACCCUUACUGUCAGUUACUACGCAGGAGGACUCUGGCAGGACUGCCGUUGACAAAACGGAGGAAGGUGGGGAUGGCGUCAAAUCAUCAUGCCCUUUAUGACUUGGGCUACACACGUACUACAAUGGCGUUAAACAAAGAGAAGCAAGACCGCGAGGUGGAGCAAAACUCAGAAACAACGUCCCAGUUCGGACUGCAGGCUGCAACUCGCCUGCACGAAGUCGGAAUUGCUAGUAAUCGUGGAUCAGCAUGCCACGGUGAAUACGUUCCCGGGCCUUGACACACCGCCCGUC
rnacentral:rRNA from 1 species